rnacentral:rRNA from 1 species
AGAGUUUGAUCCUGGCUCAGGACGAACGCUGGCGGCAUGCCUAAUACAUGCAAGUCGAACGCCAAAUCUUCCUGCUUGCAGGAAGAGGCGGAGUGGCGAACGGGUGAGUAACACGUGAGGAACUUGCCCAUAAGAGGGGGAUAACACCCGGAAACGGGUGCUAAUACCGCAUAGGUUUUCCCAGUGCAUGCUGGGAAAAUAAAAGGUGGCUCUGCUACCGCUUAUGGAUAGCCUCGCGGCGCAUUAGCUAGUUGGUAGGGUAAAGGCCUACCAAGGCCAUGAUGCGUACCGACUUGAGAGGGUGAUCGGCCACACUGGAACUGAGACACGGUCCAGACUCCUACGGGAGGCAGCAGUAGGGAAUCUUCCACAAUGGGUGCAAGCCUGAUGGAGCAAUGCCGCGUGAGUGAAGAAGGACUUCGGUUCGUAAAGCUCUGUUGUCGGGGAAGAACACGGAUAGGAGUCACUGCCUAUCCCUUGACGGUACCCAACCAGAAAGUCACGGCUAACUACGUGCCAGCAGCCGCGGUAAUACGUAGGUGACAAGCGUUGUCCGGAUUUAUUGGGCGUAAAGCGAGCGCAGGCGGUCCGGUAAGUCUGAUGUGAAAGCCCACGGCUCAACCGUGGAACGGCAUUGGAAACUGGCGGACUUGAAUGUAGCAGAGGAAAGUGGAAUUCCAUGUGUAGCGGUGGAAUGCGUAGAUAUAUGGAGGAACACCAGUGGCGAAAGCGACUUUCUGGGCUAUGAUUGACGCURAGGCUCGAAAGCGUGGGGAGCGAACAGGAUUVGAUACCCUGGUAGUC